rnacentral:rRNA from 1 species
UACGUAGGGUGCAAGCGUUGUCCGGAAUCAUUGGGCGUAAAGCGCGCGUAGGUGGUCAUGUAAGUCCGCUGUGAAAGUCGAGGGCUCAACCCUCGAAUGCCGGUGGAUACUGUCGGGCUUGAGUACGGGAGAGGCGAGUGGAAUUCCUGGUGUAGCGGUGAAAUGCGCAGAUAUCAGGAGGAACACCGAUUGCGAAGGCAGCUCGCUGGAACGUUACUGACGCUGAGACGCGAAAGCGUGGGGAGCAAACAGG